rnacentral:lncRNA from 10 species
GAAGAAAGGAAGGAAGGAAGACUCUUUUAUUUUCUUUUGAGACAGGGUCUUGCUCUGUUGCCCAGGCUGGAGUGCAGUGACAUGAUCAUAGCUCACUGCAGCCUCCAGCUUCUGGGUUCAAACCAUCCUCCUGCCUCAGCCUCCUGAGUAGCAGGCACUACAGACAUAGGCCACCACACCCAGCAUUUGCUCUGGGGGAAACAAGCUGCCAUGCUGUGAGCAGCCCACUGGAGAAGCCCACGUGACAAACUGAACUGAAGCUUCCAGCCAACAGCCAGGGAACCUGAGUUGGGAAGUGGGCCCUCCACGAGUCAAGCUCUUGGAUGACACCUUGACAGCAGUCUCAUGAGAGACCCUGAGCCAGAACCACCCAGCUAAGCUUCUCCUGGAUUCCUGACCCACAGAAACUGAGAGAUAAUACAUCUGGGGAGGUCAGAAAUCCAAAAUGGAUCAUACAGAGCUAAAAUCAAGGUGUCGGCAGAGAUGUGUUCCUUCUGGAGUCUCUAACAGAAAAUGCGUUCCUGGCCCUGUCCAGCUUCCACAGGCUGCCCACAUUCCUUGGGUCUUGGUGGCACCAUUCUGAACUCUGUUUCCAUUGUCACAUCUCCUCUGACUCUGACACUCUUGCCUCUUUUUUUUUUCUUCUUUUUUUUUUGUGAGACAGAGUCUCACUGUCACUCAGGCUGGAGUGCAGUGACGCGACUCACUGCAACCUCCACCUCCUGUGUUCAAGUGAUUCUCCUGCCUCAGCCUCCCAAGUAGCUGGAACUACAUGCAUGUGCCAUGACGUCCAGCUAAUUUUUGUAUUUCUAGUAGAGACAGGGUUUCACAUGUGGCCAGGCUGGUCUCGAAAUCCUGACCUCAAGUGAUCCGCCCACCUUGGCCUCCCAAAGUGCUGGGAUUACAGGCAUGGGCCACCACACCCAGCUGCCUGUCUCUUAAAAAGACCCUUGUCAUUUCAUUGGACCCACCUGGAUAAUCCAGGGUAAGUUUCCUGUCUCAAGACUCUUCACUUGUUCACAUCUACAAAGUCCCCGAUGCUGUGUAAGGGAACCUAUGCACAGUUCUGGGGAUGAGGAAGUGGACAUUUUGGGGUACAUGAUUGAGCCUACCAUAACAGGAUUCCUCCUUGGUCUCUGAGCCUUCUCUUCCCCAGUCAAGGCUGUUCCCUGUUCCUCCCACCAAAGAAUUCCUUUCCAGGCUGGGCAUAGUGGCUCAUACCUGUGAUUCCAGCACUUUGGGAGGUUGAGGGAGGAGGAUUGCUUGAGCCCAGGAGUUUGAGACCAGCCCAGACAAAAAGGCAAGACCUUGCCUAUACAAAUUUUUGUUUUAUAAUUAGCUGGGCAUGGUGAUACACACCUGUAGUCCCAGCUACUUGGGAGGCUAAGGCAGG